rnacentral:lncRNA from 1 species
AGAGUUCUGGGAUUAAAGGCAUGUGUGUUAUCACCAUGCAUGGACCUAAGCCUUUCUUUACCUGGAACUUGCUCUGUUCCAGAAUCGCCUUGAAGGCAUAGGUCUGUUUGCUUACUCUGUCUCCUGGGAUUAAAAGUAUGUACCAUCAUGACUGGGUCUAAGCUAUUCAUGCCCACUGUUCCUCAAGGGAGGACCAUCCAAUGGCUGUGACACUUGUAGGAAUAAAAUCUCAGGACCCCAGGCCUGCAGCAUUGAACAGCACCACCUCCUGCCACUCUCAGCCACUCCUGCUUUGCCAUCUCUCUAAGGGAGUUCUUUGAUUUUCAUUAACAACUCUGCCACCAUCCCAUUCAUAAUUCAAUCAAAACUCCUGGGAUGGCAGCUGUCAUAGUGGUGCUUAUGACCACUUGUUUCAAUGUUCUCACUGAACCUGGAGUGUACGAGAAAGUGCAGGCAUGACCUAGUGGCCAGCCUUCCUGGCACGCUAUACUUCUAACUAAGAAGCAUGGCACCCCAUGCUACUGAGUAUUCCCAGAAGCCUCAACUCUGAAUUCUGUAGUAAUGGAAAAUGACGCUACCUUGAGUACACUCAAUUACUGGAAGACAUCUAUAUUAAAUUGAUAACUAUAAAAUUUAUGAACAUUUGAAAUUAUUCCAUUUUGGUAGUACAUUAAUAUUCUGUUGAAGCUAUCCUCUUUGCAUGUUUGGUAUUUUACUGAAAGACUGUGGUGACUGAAAUUCACACACUACCCAAGCCUGUGCCAGGUAAUGCAAGUAAACAACUCAUUUAAAAGUUAGAAACAUGAUAGUUGUUGGAAUACCAACUUUUAUUUAAAUGAAAUUGCAAAUCAAAAUGGCAUCCAUACUCCAUUUCGCUCUUAUCAUCUAGCUAUCUACAAGACGACAAACAGUUGAUACAGGUGAUGAAAAACUAUAGGUUCCAUAAAAAUUGAAACAAAUCUUAUAUGAAUAAGAGAAGUGUCUACAUGAGAGGCUGGCUCAUAGGAGGAAGGGAUGCAGAAGGAAAGCAAUCCAGAUGACACAGAAACCUGAAACCCCUGCAUGCAGACAGCUCAACAUACUGGCUGAAGAAAAAAAAAAAAAAAAAACAGAUCAUUCCUCAGCCGGGCAGGCUGGAAAAGCUUCAGUUUACCUUCUGAUUUUCAUAUGAGCUAUCCAAUUUAUAUAUUAGUAUCUCUCUUGAGUUCAAUUUUAUUAAGUUGAUUGGAAUGUCAAAUCAUGUUUUCACCUCAACUUCUCCAAACUAGGAACCUGAUUCAGUGACCGGACACUAAACAACUAGUUGUUCAGGUCCAAAUUGAUCAUCAUAUCCUAUUAAAAUAUACAAAGAAUUUUCAACUGAGGAAUAUCAAAUGACUGAGAAGCACCUAAAGAAUUGUUCAACAUCACCUAGUCAUCAGGGAAAUGAAAAUUAAAACAACGCUGAGAUUGCACCUCACACCAGUCAGAAUGGCUAAGAUCACAAAUAUGCUAAUGAAAGAAUUUUAACUGAAUCAUCUCUCAUACUACUAGUACACUAAUCUCUUGGACUUCUUCAGCAGUAUAAUCAGCAAUCUAAUAAUUAUCUAUGGACCUGCUCUUAGCUCCCAGUUCAUCCUACAUUCUCUACUUUGAAUUUAAAUUUGAAUAUUUAAAUUCUUAUCCAAAAUCAAUUUGUGUUUUUUUUUUCAAAAAUCAUGGAAUGAAACUUAGCUUCUUAUUGU